UUUAACCCAUUGAUUAUUACAGCGAAGUCAUGUUUUAGUCGUUCUUAUUCAUGGUCAUUCAACUCUUUCCAGCUUUCAAUAAAGGGGCACGAUUAGUGAUAUACUGUACCCAAACAAAUUACAGCGUAGAAUAAUUUACAUGAUCACGUGCCAACUCUGCCGGAAUCUAAGUAUGAUGCAUCCCGAAUGAAAACUUAUCUUGGGGUCACUUAUUGAAUUGCACAAACGAUUCCAACAAAAAACGAUGCACUUUGAGGUCCAUGAGUGAAAAUGAAAAUGACAUUUGAAUUUCGCUGCGUGAAAAUGAAUAAAAACGAUGCUGAUCGGCGUUCAACUGGAAUUCGCAAAGACAGAGCACAAGAGAUUUUUCACCACUGCAUGGAAACACAGAAUAAAUAUUUCAUACGGAAAAAAUAAUUUUCGUACAUAAUAUUUAUUUUGAUCAACGCACCGAGACGAAUCAACAACAUGCAUCUCGAAAUAGUGCAGG